AACGAACGCUGGCGGCAGGCUUAACACAUGCAAGUCGAGCGCCUGUAGCAAUACAGGAGCGGCAGACGGGUGAGUAACGCGUGGGAACGCACCCUUUGGUUCGGAACAACACAGGGAAACUUGUGCUAAUACCGGAUAAGCCCUUACGGGGAAAGAUUUAUCGCCGAAGGAUCGGCCCGCGUCUGAUUAGCUUGUUGGGGAGGUAAUGGCUCACCAAGGCUACGAUCAGUAGCCGGUCUGAGAGGAUGAUCAGCCACACUGGGACUGAGACACGGCCCAGCCUCAUAAGGGAGGCAGCAGUGGGGAAUAUUGGACAAUGGGCGCAAGCCUGAUCCAGCCAUGCCGCGUGAGUGAUGAAGGCCCUAGGGUUGUAAAGCUCUUUCGGCGGGGAAGAUAAUGACGGUACCCGCUUAAGAAGCCCCGGCUAACUUCGUGCCAGCCGCCGCAGUAAGAC
rnacentral:rRNA from 1 species